AACAAAAUAGAAAAAGAAAUAAAAUCAAAAUUAAAAUAAAACAAAAAUGAUUUCAAAACAAAAUCAAAUGAAAAUCGAAUGAAAAUGAAAUCACCGAUGGCCGAGAACCGCCAUAGCCCGCAAUACUUGGUAGUCUAAUUGUAUGCAGUUGGUCAUACUUCAUAUAAGCUUAGCCACAAUUGAAAAUCAAAAUGGCGCGUAUAAGAAAUAAUAGUUGGCAAGAUGAUUUGCAGCUGAAGGAGGCUUUACAACAUUAUAUAAAGAGCGGUUUAAACCGUACAGAAAUUCUCGACUUUAUGCAAAGAGACUUCAGCCAGUACGCAUGGAGUCCAAGGACUUUGAUCGGCGAUUACAGCACUUUGAAAUACGUUGUAUCAAUAGGAAUAUUUCAGUUGAUCAAGUUCGAGAUGCAGUUCAGGAGGAAUUACAAGGUCCUGGUAAUCUGCUUGGUUACCGAGCCAUGCAUCAAAAGCUUAGACAGCUCCAUGAUCUUGCUGUACCAAGGGAUUUGGUGCAUGAUGUUAUGUUUGAAUUAGACCCCGAAGGAUUAGAAUGCAGAGCUCCAGGCUUUAAAACGAAAAAGAAGAAGGGAAAUUUCACGUCGCCUGGACCAAACUUUGUACAUUCGCUCGAUGGCCAAGACAAACUUAUGGGUUUUCAGAACAGUACUUACCCUAUUGCAGUAUAUGGUUGUCUUGACACAUGUAGCCGGAAAGUACUGUGGGUGAAAGUUUGGAGGAGCAAUAGUGACCCAAAGCUAAUUGGUCGUUUUUAUCUCGAAUACCUGUAUGAGCAGCGCACCAUUGCAAGCAUGUUAAGAGUGGAUAAAGGCAC